rnacentral:rRNA from 1 species
CCUACGGGAGGCAGCAGUGGGGAAUUUUGCGCAAUGCUCGUAAGAGUGACGCAGCGACGCCGCGUGAAUGACGAAGGCCUUCGGGUCGUAAAGUUCUUUCGACAGGGAAGAAAAUGCCUAUAAGUAACUGUGUAUGUAUUGACGGUACCUGUAUAAGCAGCCCCGGCGAACUCCGUGCCAGCAGCCGCGGUAAUACGGAGGGGGCGAGCGUUGUUCGGAGUGACUGGGCGUAAGGAGCACGUAGGCGGUGUUGUAAGUCAUUAGUCAAAGACUAGAGCUCAACUUUAGUAAGGCUAGUGAUACUAUAAUACGAGAGUGUCAGAGAGGAUUGCAGAAUUCCUGGUGUAGCGGUGAAAUGCGUAGAUAUCAGGAGGAAUACCGUUAGCGAAGGCGGCAAUCUGGCUGGAAACUGACGCUGAGGUGCGAAAGCGUGGGUAGCAAACAGGAUUAGAUACCCGUGUAGUC